AGCUCCAAUAGCGUAUAUUAAAGUUGUUGCAGUUAAAAGCUCGUAGUUGAAUUUCUGGUGAGUGAGAGUGGUCCGAUCAAUGAUUGGUGCUUGCUCUCGCUGGCCAUCCUUGGGUUUAGCCAGUCUGGCAUUAAGUUGUCGGGCUGGGGAUGCCCAUCGUUUACUGUGAAAAAUUAGAGUGUUCAAAGCAGACUUAUGUCGUUGAAUAUAUUAGCAUGGAAUAAUAAGAUAGGACUACAGUGCUAUUUUGUUGGUUUGCGCACCGUGGUAAUGAUGAAUAGGGACAGUUGUGGGUAUUCGUAUUCACUUGUAAGAGGUGAAAUUCUUAGAUUAAGGGAAGACGAACUACUGCGAAAGCAUUUACCAAGGAUGUUUUCAUUAAUCAAGAACGAAAGUUAAGAACG
rnacentral:rRNA from 1 species